GACGAACGCUGGCGGCGUGCUUAACACAUGCAAGUCGAACGGAAAGGCCCUGCUUUUGUGGGGUGCUCGAGUGGCGAACGUGUGUGUAACACGUGAGUAACCUGCCCUUGACUUUGGUAUAACUUCAGGAAACUGGGGCUAAUACCGGAUAGGAUCUCCUGCCGCAUGGUGGGGGUUGGAAAGUUUCGGCGGUUGGGGAUGGACUCGCGGCUUAUCAGCUUGUUGGUGGGGUAGUGGCUUACCAAGGCUUUGACGGGUAGCCGGCCUGAGAGGGUGACCGGCCACAUUGGGACUGAGAUACGGCCCAGACUCCUACGGGAGGCAGCAGUGGGGAAUAUUGCACAAUGGGCGGAAGCCUGAUGCAGCGACGCCGCGUGCGGGAUGACGGCCUUCGGGUUGUAAACCGCUUUCGCCUGUGACGAAGCGAAAGUGACGGUAAUGGGUAAAGAAGCACCGGCUAACUACGUG
rnacentral:rRNA from 1 species